rnacentral:rRNA from 1 species
GUGUCAGCAGCCGCGGUAAUACGAACUGUGCAAACGUUAUUCGGAAUCACUGGGCUUAAAGGGUGCGUAGGCGGCUCGUUAGGUAGGGUGUGAAAGCCCCCGGCUCAACCGGGGAAUUGCGCCCUAAACCGGCGGGCUAGAGUGAGAUAGGGGUGUGUGGAACUUCCGGUGGAGCGGUGAAAUGUGUUGAUAUCGGAAGGAACGCCGGUGGCGAAAGCGACACACUGGGUCUCAACUGACGCUGAGGCACGAAAGCCAGGGGAGCAAACGGGAUUAGAAACCCCAGUAGUCC